rnacentral:lncRNA from 1 species
AAGCCUGGCUGUGACUCCAUCUUUGGAUCAAAGCAGCAGGAGGACGCCUGCAUGGUGUGUGGAGGACAAAACACCACCUGCCUGCACCACAAGAACGUGUACCAGAGCUACGGUCUGGAGGCAGGCGGACCUUUUGGAUACAACGAAGUGGCCAUGAUUCCAGCUGGAGCCACUCACAUCCGAGUCACUGAUAACAGCAGAAAUUAUCUAGGUAAGAUUCAGCCUGUCACACACACACAUGCACAUACAGGACACCUGGGCUGCCGUGUAUAUCAGUUCCAGCUUUCUGCAGAAGACCCACGGCUGCAGUGUAAAUCAGGCACUUGAAGUAAUUCCUAGACUUACUAUUACUUCCUCUCCCCAGAUACAGGAGGGGCUCAGCAGUCCCAUCUGGUCUCCGGUCCUGCUGUGUGUUUUCCAGGCAACAUAAUAACCAAGGGCAUCUAUUCUCAGCCUUGUUUAUGAGACCAAAAUAAAACGGGCCCCGAAAUGGUACACACUGUGGCCUUGAAAGGGACGCUCGUAAAGGCUUUAUCUGACCACUGGCUCAAGGCAGGUGAAAGUACUUGUUUCCAUUUCAUGUCAUGGAAAAUCCCUCUCCCACCAUUGAGGAGAGACAGCUGCCAUACAUAGCCAGCUGGCAUAUUUCUGUUUCUGACAGCCUGCCUUUACUUCAACAUGGCCCACUUAUAUAGAGAGCUAAUUGUUGGCAUGUCAUUACUAAUACAGUGCCCGUUCGAAACGUGCCGAUUGCUUGGCCUCCGGUAUUGCUGCUUGCAGCUUUUUGCUUAUCCAAACAACAUUACACUCGACACUGCGCUUCCUUGGAUCCUGAGAAUUACAUCUGUCAUGACGUAGUUGCUGGAGUAUAUGCAUCAUUUGCUAACAGCUAGCUAUUUGGAACCACGCUAUUUCCGGUAACAAUAGCGUUAGUUAUGAAAGUUACAUUUCCGAUGCUUGAAAUGUUUGAGGUUGCUACAAUGUAACAUCUCCGGUCUCUCUUUCUUCAUCUGUUCUUGAAUGUUAUGCAGCGAGCGACGGAGAGUGAGCUGUACCCAGCAUGCCGUUUGGCAGUGUAACAGUUAAUAGGGGUCCCCUCUCAAUACACGACACAGUGUGUACAUAAAACACUACUAAU